rnacentral:rRNA from 1 species
GAAUUUAAACCUCUUCCAGAGUAUCAAUUGGAGGGCAAGUCUGGUGCCAGCAGCCGCGGUAAUUCCAGCUCCAAUAGCGUAUAUUAAAAUUGUUGCAGUUAAAAAGCUCGUAGUUGAAUUUCUGCUGCAUUACAUAUCUCUUGUUUGAGUUUGUUUUUGUGGCUUAUUUCGGUUUGAUUUUUUCUUUCCGGAUGAUUACUUUGAGAAAAUUAGAGUGCUCAAAGCAGGCUUUUGCCUUGAAUAGUUUAGCAUGGAAUAAUAAAGUAGGACUUUGGUUCUAUUUUGUUGGUUUUAGGUACCAAAGUAAUGGUUAAUAGGAACAGUUGGGGGCAUUCGUAUUUAACUGUCAGGAACAGUUGGGGGCAUUCGUAUUUAACUGUCAGAGGUGAAAUUCUUAGAUUUGUUAAAGACGAACUACUGCGAAGGCAUUUGCCAAGGAUGUUUUCAUUAAUCAAGAACGAAAGUUAGGGGAUCGAAGACGAUCAGAUACCGU